CUUUGGGUAUCUACAGUGCCCCGGCCUUCAUCACAGGUGGUCUGCCGUGGACUGGGUGGGCCAGCUUGAAGGCCUUCUGUGCCUCCCACAUGGACAGACACGUAGAGACUUGUAGCCCAUGCCUCCUUCCUGCUGUCUCCUGGCUGUUCAUGUAUCUCUUACUUAGGAGCCAUCAGUGACUCGUCAUUGCUGUCAGUGUGACUUCCCAGCCACUGUUGAGUCUGUCUCCUACUCCAUGGUCAUCUCAGCGUUGCCCUUGGCGAUGCCCACAUCUGAGACCUCAGAUGUCAAGACUGGAGUGAAAACGCCUUCACUACCACCUCUGCCGAGAGUAGCAACACCUCAAGGUGCCAAAGAGAUGUCCAGCCAGCCAGCAUGGAGCUGCCGUGUGAAUUUCUGUCCAGAAGCUCCAGCUCCUGUUGGCUCUCGUGUCAAGUGGCAAGCUCCCCUCCUGGGAUGCAUGAGUGAGGAAGAAAU